AUUUUAUCUCUGUUAUUUCUCACGAGAGGGGCCUAAUUGUACAAUGUAAAGAUUUUGACGUUUAGAGGUUAGAAUUUCAUUAUUUUGAAAAUUUUUAAACUAUUUUAUUUAUUUUCAAAGAAGAUAUUAAAUGACCUGUAUUAAAUUUUCGUGGGAGGAAGCAUUCUAAGUUUAUUCUUAUUUUUAUAGCGAGUUUCUCUUUGAAAUGGAUAUUUUUAAGCCAACUGCUGAGGAGUUGAGGAUAUGUAUGAAGGAUCCUUCCUGUAUUAGAAAUGUUUGCAUACUGGCUCACGUGGAUCAUGGAAAGACUACAGUAGCUGAUUUACUUUUAGCAACUAAUCGACUAGUGAGUAAGCGUAUGGCGGGUCAACUUAGGUAUCUUGAUGACCGGCCUGAUGAGCAAGAAAGGGGUAUUACAAUGAAAAGCAGUGCUGUUUCAUUAUUAAAUAUAAUACAUGAUGAGAACACAAAAGUCAGAAGAAAGAUUCUUUUAAAUUUGAUUGAUACACCUGGACAUAUUGAUUUCUCUUCAGAAGUUGGAGCAGCAAUAAGAGUUUGUGAUGCUGCUUUAAUUUUAGUUGAUGUAGUAGAAGGUGUGUGUGUUCAAACUAGGGAAUCUAUUAGUAAGGCAUUUGAAGAACAUGCAAAAAUGAUCCUGGUUGUUAAUAAAUUGGACAGACUAAUAUUAGAGCUAGACAAAGACAUUGACUUAAUGUUUCAAAGUAUUAUCAAAGUUAUUGAAGACUGUAAUGUAAUUAUAGCAGAGCUAUAUCAGUAUGAGUUUAUGAGUAAUGAAGUUGAUAUAGAAGACACUGGCCUGUUAUUUAAUCCUGACAAAGACAAUGUUAUUUUUGCCAGUGCUAUAGAUGGCUGGGCUUUCACAACUAGGCAGAUAUCAAAAAUGUUUGUUGAUAUGAUUAAGAACGAGACGGUAGACUCUCUGAAUGUAAAAAUGUGGAAUUUUGACUGUUGGGUUGAUUCAAAAGGAGAAAUUAAUCAAGGAGCUGUUGAUAGACAGAAACCAAAUCUCUUUAUUCAACUCUGUUUAAAAACUAUUGUCCAUGUUUAUCAGUCUAUUAUUGUUAGAAUGGAAAAAGAUAAAAUUCCAUCAAUUUUGAAAAAACUGAAAAUUGAAAAUCCAACGAGAGAAAUGACUACUUCUAAUGACUCAAAGGCUCAAAUUAAAGCAAUUUUAUCUGCAUGGAAACCUUUAGCUUAUACUGUUUUAUCCCAAUGUUUAAAUAUUAUACCUGCACCAUCUAAUUUAGACAAAUCAAAAAUUGAAUAUUUAUUAAAUGCAAAUCAUUAUAUAGAAGAUCCAUUUUUGUAUAAAUGUGUCCAGGAAGUAGUACCAUAUUUUCAGGACAUCUCUGUUACAGAAAACACUCCCACAAUAGCUUAUGUUUCAAAGAUGUUUUGUGUAAACACAAAAAACUUAUCUCAGAAUGCUCCAAAACAGUUUGUGCCCAAACCAAGACCGUUAGGCCUUCCAAUCCAACAGUUGGAUAAUUUAUCUUUAACUGAUAAACCUGAAGUAAAUACAGAAAGUGAGGAAACAAUAAAAGAACAAUCCCUUGAAGAUAAAAUUAAAGAAGUAUCAGGGGAGAUAGCUGUCAUAGCUCUGGCCAGAAUAUUUAGUGGUACCCUUAGAGUUGGACAGGAAAUUUUUGCUAUGUCACCUGGUUAUAUACCAAAUGAAGAUUUCUCUAAUGAAGCGUGUUUUUUGUCCUCAAAUAGAUAUAUAAAUAAGGUCCAGAUUAAAGAGCUUUACAUGCUUUUUGGACGAGAAUUAGUUUUGGUUGACUCAGUGCCAGCUGGAAAUUUUUGUGGCAUAGGAGGAAUUGAAUCAAAAGUUCUAAGAACAGCUACUCUAUCCACAACUUUGAAGUUAGUACCACUUGUUGAACAUCCAACAUCCAGUCCAGUGGUUAGAUAUGCAGUUGAACCAAUUAAUCCUAAAGAGCUUCCUAUUUUGCGCCAUGGUUUAAAACUUUUAAUGCACAGCGAUUCUUGUGUCCAAGUAAUCAUGCAGGAAACAGGAGAAUUGGUAAUUGUCACAGCUGGUGAUGUGCAUUUGGAGAAAUGCAUAGAAGAUCUGAAAAAUAAAUUUGCCAAAAUAGAUAUUCAAGUAUCAAGCCCUAUGGUUUCUCUCAGAGAAACAAUUGACAAUCCUUUAACAGAACUAAGCCAACCCAUUGACUUUGAAAGCUCUAAUAUUUUUUUAUCAAUUCUAGCUGUAAGUUUGCCACAAGAUAUUGUGGAUGUUAUUAAAAACAAUCACGAAUUUUUAACAACAGUAGAACAACAUCAACAUAAAAGUCUUAUAGAUUUAAUUAAAGGCUUUAAUGAAAAUGUCAACGACGAGAAAAAAGAAUUAAAAGAAAAGAUUUUUAAAAGUGAAGUAACUAAUAGAGGAAUAGUUCAUGUUAAAGAGCAACUAAAAUCGGCGUUUUUAUCUUGUGGACCUGUAUGGAAAAAUAUGGCUAACAAAAUAUGGAGCAUUAGCAUAUUAAAUGACUGUGUUAAUUUACUCUUGAAUGACACAUCAGACUAUAUUCAAAACAUAUUUUUGGAAACGAAUUUUUACGAUAAAAGGACUUUAUUAGCUCAGUGUAUCAUAAAUCCUUUUCACAAUUUUUGCAAAGCUGGAUUAAUAUGUGAAGAACCUUUAAUGAAUUGUGCCUUUAUAGUAAAAAAAUUUAAACUAGUAAAAAACAUAAAUCCUCAAGAAAUUAACCCACAAACAGUAUCUUUGGAAGAAUCAUCUGUAAAAAGCUUCAUGAAGACCUGCUUUGAAAAACAUGAACAAAGGUUGAUGGAGCCCAUGUACACUACUGACAUUCAAGUGAAUACUAGCAUAUUGGGAAAAGUAUAUUCUGUGAUAAACAGGCGACAUGGCAAAGUUUUAGAAGCCGUAGGAAUGGACGAGAAAGAAAAGUCCUUUUUGGUUCAAGCACAGAUCCCUGUGAUCGAAAGCGAAGGUUUUGUGAACGAAAUAAGGAAAACCACAUCGGGCCAAGCAAAUCCCAGUUUGAGGUUCAGUCACUACGAGACACAAUUUAACUCUAUACAUCACACGUCGCCCUAUGGCAGAGACAAAUCAAUAUAACUGUUUAAAAUGGAAUGAAAAAAUACUGACUAAAGAACAUGAAAGAUGAUGCGAUUUAAUAGUAGACAUCAGCACACUCUGACCCAGCGGCCGAACCGACAGGGAUAUUAUUAAUUAAUUCGAUGGCAGCAGUUAAUUAAAUUUUUCGUAAGUAAAUUUUGCCGAUGGUGUCCCGACGGAUUGGACCAAGAAGUGACGUUCCAGAGCACGACGCUGCCUUCUUCUGUAGAGGAGACCUGGAUCAUCUUCUGAACUUGGUGUUCUGCCUUUACGAUGACCUAUAUAGCAUGUAUAGGUACCCAACGACCUAUCUGGAAGGAGACACAACCCUCUUGUUUACGAGCUAGGUUUUUAGUGGCUUUGACCGGAUACGACGUGGCACCCAAGCUAAAAGACUUCUUCAUGCACGUAUUGCGUGGCACCUCGAGGGUGUAGGGGACAUUAUAUGAACAUAUUCGAAGAUGAGUAGGGGGGUUAGGCCUGUAGGGAGUCCCAGUGAUAAGUCUCUCGAUAACAAAAGAGAUGAUCUCAGAUGAGGAUGUUUAAUUGGGAUGGAGAGUGACUGGUGAAGCAUAAUCAUCAGAAAGAGUUAAAUCUGCAGAAGGGAACCAAACCAUGGACGCGACGUGAAGAUUUUUUUUUGUUCUGCAUCCGCCUGACGUAAAACAAUUAAAGAUAAUUGAGUUCGUGGCGCGUUUAAAUAAAAGAAGAUUUCAGAAGAAAUAUUGCAAAACGCGUGCGAUUGGUCCUAAAGCUUCUUCGGAUUCUCACAGGCAUCAUCAAAUACCUGGUGUCGUGUUAAGUACCAACUCUAGAGGGUCGUCCGAUGUCCAGGUCCAGAGAGUUGGGGCAUUCGCCAUUAUCUUGACCUAACUGCCAUUUCGUCUUUUAAUUAUAAUGGAACUGAAGAAAUACUGGCGAAAUAUUGAGAAUGGUGGUAAAACAAGUCAGCCCUCAAAGCUCAAAGAAAUGAAAAAUACGGUUCGCAUCGCGCCGUGGUUCCGAAGCGGUAUUUAGGCACUUUUAGUACAUAGUAAUCCAUAUUUUAAUUUAGUUUUUUAAUAAUAAUUAUAAAUUCUCAUAAUUCUUGCUAUUUUAUUCAAUGAAAAUUUACAAGCCUUUGCAUUAUCAUUAUUUUAAUACUAUGAAUAAUAUUAAAGCUUUAUAAUUAUAACUAACUGACAAAAUUAUUUAGUAACUGAUAAAUUAACUGAGUUGGCUUAAAUUGCUUUACAACAGUAUUUAAUUGCUGUAAAUUUUCUUUUACCCAUAAAAACUAACUUUUUUAUUUUCCAAAAUGUUUAUUAUACAUUUUUUUAACCGAUAAUUACCCUAAAUAGUAUAAAAAGUAUUUUUUUUGUGAAUUUAUAGUAUAUACCUAAUAGAUAUUUUAUGACUAAAAAAUAUUGGUCUCUGCAGUGUUCGAUGUGAAGAUGCGUUUAAACUUGAGCACGCACGAGCUGAGCGUACGCGAACGGCAUUUGUUCGGGGUCUCGGCUCAGUUUAAAUUAAAAACUUAUUCUUCAACGAAUGAAGUUAUUCACUUGUGCGCGAACAGCAGAGUUGUGUUGGUGAACGUACGCACGCACGUACACAAAAUAAAUUGCCGGUGCAAACUCAGAUAAAUUCCCUUUGAGCACCGACCAAAAACCGACACCAGACGGCUCGCGUUCGUGGCUGCUUGUGCACAGACAGAUUCAGAGUGAGCGCACAGCUGUUUACACUUGAGCAUUCGCGAAGGCUCAGUGCGUGCGUGCUCUAAGUCUAAAAGCAGCUUGCCAAUGCCAAUACUGUUACAACUAUAAAAUUUUGUUGUAGGUGUAUUCAUAGAGCUCCUUUUAAAAAUUAAUAUAAGCACUUUAUAAGUACAAUAAUUAUUGUUCUUGAUAUGCUGGCAUUGUUCUUGUUUAGUUUAACCAUAGAUUGUCUACAUAUUUGUAUUCGUAAAUGAGUUAUUAGUUAUUUUUAAGAUUUUUUUUUAUAUUUAUCUAUACAUCAGUUAAAACCAGUAGCAGUUAUUAUGAGAAAUUAAAUUAUGGAAAGUAAUUUUUAGCAUAUGAAGAAUUAACUUGUAGCAUAGAGUACUUAUUAUAAUUAAUUAAUUAACAAUUUAAUUUAAAAGGCAUGAUGAAAUUGUAACUCUGUUUUAUAUAUAUUUAGUUGCACAUUUCUCAAUAUUUAUGUCUAUUAUGUAUCCAUUUUUUUUUAUUUCAUGUAAUAAUUUAGUUUACUAUUCUCUUACUUCUUAAGGUACAUUCAGGCUGAGAGCGUCGAGCGUCGCGUCGCGUUUGCGUCGCGCCUGCGUGUCGAAAUGGGAUCAAUUCACUUUACUUAAAUUAGACCGUUCAAGCAGAUAGCGUCGCGUUUGGCGUUGCGAUCUAUGGCGUUGCGCUAGCAUCCGCUGAGCGUCGGGGGUCGAGUUCAAAGGGGCGGACGCGACGCAAACGCGACGCGACGUUCGACACUCUCAGCCUGAAUGUACCUUUUCAGUGUGGCGCCUAUCUGUACUAAACGCAUAUACAUACAGGAGUAUGGGUGUGUAUACUACAUAUCCGCACUGAUAUUGAUGGAAUAGUCGUGUGUGUAAAGCCGCGUACACACUUAGCGAACGCAUACGGCCGCAUGGCUUAGAACGAACGAAUUCCGGAAAUGUGUACGUAGCAACGAAUCCAUGCGGUUGCGUUCGCUGACUUGGCGGUACUUCAAAGGGAAUACUACCGCACGCAAACAGAUGUAUGAUGCGUUCACUAAGUGUGUACGUAACAGCAAACAGCGAAAAAGUACCGUAUGAUCGAAUAAAAACGGCGUCAGCGAUGGCUAAGUCGCUGUCAUUUUAUAAGUAAGUUUAUAUGGGAAAAUGUCAUCGAUCGUCAUUUCCCAGCCGACUGGACGCCGUUUUUUUCGAUCAUACGGUACUUCAAACAAAAUCACCGCAUGUGUGCGGAUUUGGUCGAACGUAUGCGUUCGCUAAGUGUGUACGCGGCAUAAUAUAUCUCCACACACACCAAAAUACUGUAUGUAUAAUCACACAUAUGUAUCCCUGUUGUGUAAAAUACACACUGACGGAGACCAAAAACUCUAAAAUAUAGUAUCUCUUGAACCGGACACUCUUUUUGAUAACUUAAAAAAUAUAAAUAUAUAAUAUUUUGCAAAUA